rnacentral:rRNA from 1 species
GAUGAACGCUGACAGAAUGCUUAACACAUGCAAGUCCACUUGAAUUUGGGUUUUUAACUUAGGUUUGGGUGGCGGACGGGUGAGUAACGCGUAAAGAACUUGCCUCACAGCUAGGGACAACAUUUGGAAACGCAUGCUAAUACCUAAUAUUAUGAUAAUAGGGCAUCCUAUAAUUAUGAAAGCUAUAAGCGCUGUGAGAGAGCUUUGCGUCCCAUUAGCUAGUUGGAGAGGUAACGGCUCACCAAGGCGAUGAUGGGUAGCCGGCCUGAGAGGGUGAUCGGCCACAAGGGAACGGAGACACGGCCCGUACUCCUACGGGAGGCAGCAGUGGGGAAUAUUGGACAAUGGACCGAGAGUCUGAUCCAGCAAUUCUGUGUGCACGAUGAAGUUUUUCGGAAUGUAAAGUGCUUUCAGGUGGGAAGAAACAAAUGACGGUACCAACAGAAGAAGUGACGGCUAAAUACGUG